UUUGAUAUUAGUCUAAACUAAUUUCAAUUCUUCAAUUUCAUUAUCGUAUUUAAAUAUUUACUAGCUGUGGUGUCGGUUUCAUCUGAGUUAAAUUAAGAAUCAAAGCCAUACGAUAAUACCUAACAUUUUUGAUAGAUGAAUGAUCUCACGGCCCAUCUGGUAUUAAGUGGUUACCAGAACCCAUAGACAACAUGGAGGCUGCUACCCAUAGGGCGAAGUCUUAAUUACAUUGUAUUACAGCUGCAGGUAGGUAUUCAUCGGAAAGUGCACGUAAGGCUGUUCUAUGGCAAAAAUAAGAUGGUAAUAAAGACCGCCCUACCUGUUGAUAGAUGUGUAUGGUAUACUGAUUGAAGAAGCAUCAAACCCCUCUAAAUGGUCCCUAUUAAUAACUCGAAUAACAGAACUUAUUCGAUAAAUAGAAUAGAAGGCACACUAGUUAUAUGCUAUGCACGAGUGUUUUUAUUUAAGUUUUCUUUAUGGCUAUACCAUGAAAUAUGUGACGCACUGAAAUAAUUGUCGAUUUCUGUUACUAAGCGCCUGGAUUGACUAACUUUGUCUUCUGUUUUAAAUGCAUGUUUGAGUUUUCUAAGUCUCUUAGAAAUAGAUUGAUUCUCAGUAACUUCAGAUUUGUCUUUCCCAGAGUCUACUAGAUAUUUCGACGCCUUAGGCGCAAAAGGGGCACAUACCACAGCCACUAAUGCCCAGCAACAGCAACUUAACUCGUCGGGUCUCGAGGCAACCCCCUCUGCCCUGGUUUAGGCACUCUGCCUAAUGAAACAGAAACAAAACUACUCAACAGGAAAUUGGACGCCGCCUUAUGAUCUAGAAGAUUACAUUAGUUCGUAGUUAAUAAUCUGAAAUCUCUAAUUAUGCACCGAUAUUACUCAAUAUUACGUUUUGGACGCCAGAAUUAACCUACAUUGCUAUUUAGAGAUGGUGCAUUAUUUAAUUCACUAGACAAUGAUAAGACAAAAGGUGUGAAGAGUAGAUUCAGAUUCGCAUAAAAUACUCCGGUAGUUAGUAGGAAAGUACCUACACUGUGCCGUUUGAGUCAACCUAGUUCGGCCCACAGCAUAGCCAUACCUUUUAGCCGGUCUGGAUACUUUGUAUUAGAAUUAAAAGAAUGAUCACAGUAGGAGGCACAAAUUCAAUAAAUUUGAGAAAAUAAAAUGUUUAUUAGCGUAAAAAUCAUUACGUUACCAUCAAUCUGGGUAACUUUGUGCCACCAUGCGAACGAUUUUGUACGUAGUGUUUUAGUUUUACUGGAUAUUAAUAAAAAAUAUGAUUUUCCGUGGGUUUUUAAAGUUUACAAUUGAAAUUUAAAUGAUUUUGCAUAUAUUGAUCCAUGAGUGAUGUGAUAUCAUUAGUAGGUAGGUAGUGGAGUACGAAAGACGGUAGUUUCAAUAUUAAAUGAGGAUUCAGCUGUGGGUGAUGGAAGAUGAUUGGUAGGUAGACGCAGUAUGUCGAUUUUUUGUUUGAAGGACGAGGAAUAGGUGAUAAAGAACAAGUAACAGGAAAGUUAGUCACCGUGGAAGCUUCUAACAGUUCUCGAAGGGCUUUUUGUGCAUGUUCUUGACACAUUCUUCAGCUUAUUUUCAACUUUUACCCGGGUUAAAGUUACCUAUAUUAGCACAAAUAUUCACCAAACGAAUUAAAAUCAAGACAAACACGUAAACAACUAUUUAAAUCAUAUAGAUUUUUUUGAAACUACAUCUGCAACCUUGACUUAUUAUAAAAAGUACAAACCUUUGAAACUAUUGAGUAUGAAUAUAAAAACCUUUGCAGCGAUGUUUCAUUUAUUACCUCCCUACCACUUCACAAUCAACCUAAACAAAGAAAAGUUUUGUUGAUUGAUAUCAAAUUUUCGCGCGCUUUCUUCGUUCAAUAAUAAACCUCUUUAUUAAAAAUCAUUAUCUGAGCAAUUAGAUUUGGAUACUGGAUCAUGGAACGGGGUGAUUAACAACUGUAACUAUUUUAAUUCUACCGAAGGAUAAUAGCUUUGGCUCUUUUUUAUAAUUUUAACAUGCCACGUUUUGCUAAUUAUAAUGAAUAGACCGAUUUGUAAUAAUAAAUAGAAGAUAAAUAAGUUCUUAUAAAUAAAGGUCCUUUCAAACACACUUCGUGAAUUUUAUCGACAACCCUACUUAAAGCUUAUUUUUUGGUAAACAGCUGUCAUAAGAUGGCGACCUAAUUUAUUUAUAUAAAAAAUAAAUCAAAUGUUAUCAUAGGGCUUUAAAUGUAAAAAUACAUCAAAAUUGUGUUGCCAGUUCUUAUUCUGGCAAAGCUACCCCGUUCUCAAUAUAACAUUGGACCACAAUUUUUUGUCAAUUUUGUGAGAUUUUCACUCUUUCAUGAAAAAUCAUUUAAAUUUCAAUUGUUAACGUUUAAAACCCACGGAAAAUCCAUAUUUUUUAUUUAUAUCCAGUAAAACUGAGACAAUACGUACAAAAUUGUUCACAUGGCGGGACAAAGUUACCCAGAUAGACGGUAUCCAGUUUGGAAAUUAUAGAUCAGUAAAAAGUGAGUAAGUGGGCUAACGUUAAACGGAAAGCUAAGUUGUUACCCUGAUUGACGGUACCCUAGUCUGCACGUCCACGAUUUAAAAUAAAAUGCAGAUGCACAGUUAAGACUGUGGUUACCGUAAAACGGGUUGAAUUGACACAAUAUUGAAAUUUACUUCAUUUUUAUAUAUGUUUCAAUAGUCAAAAGAACAUUAUAUUGGUCUUAUAUCAUGUCUCUUAGCUGUUUUAAUAGUUUUCAGUCAUCUAAAUUAACAUUGGUUUCUAUUGACCCGCAAAUGGGUUCAAUAGACACGAGGUAUGGGGUGAAAAGAAAAAAUUCUAUGGUUGGCAAUUUCCAAAGAUUAAGUAGAGACCUGCUUAAGUAGCUAACGUAAGUGUGAAAAAUAGGUAGGAAUUUGCCAUUCGCAUAUGCGGCAACAGCUUCAUUUAUAAUAUUUUCAUCGUACUUUCUAUAUAUUUUCCCUCUAGGAUCAGGUUUAUAAUCACGCGGCAUAAUGAUUUGUACCUAUAGCAGGAGAUAAUUUUUAUAUAGGCGAUGACAGUAUUUAUCUACCUACAUAAUUAGUAACAUUGUACAUAAAAUUUAAAUCCUGAUUUGGAAGUUUGUAAUUUGUAAUACCUUGGAGCUCCCUCGGGCAGUGACCUAUAUAUACAUAUAACAGUUCAUGAAUAUCGUCCCCGAAUCAUAUUUCCCAAGAAUUCUUAAUUUUAUAACAAAAGAAAAUAAUAUUCUAAUAUAGCAGCCCUAACAAAUAUUUUUCUAAUCACCGCUUACUAGUUUCUAUUGAACCCAUUCACGUGUCUAUUGAACCCAUAUUACGUAUCUAUUAACCUCAAUCACAAGUAAAAAAUGGCUUUGUUUACAAUUCUACAAAUAUUUCGAAAUUUACAACAAACGCCUAUACCUUUGUAUUAAUUUGGAUGACAAGGAACCAACGAAUACAUUUAACAAAUUGUGAUGCCACAAAACAGUUCCUUUCAAUAUGAAAAUAACUUUAUAGGACCUCGUUUAACCUGCAUCCAAAGGACUCACUGUUUUUUUAAAGUUGACAAACCUCACGUCAAUCCAGUGUUGCUAUUUCAAGAAAAAUAAUGCUGCAGUCUUAACACAAAUUUCGGAACGUUUUUCUCUCAAAAUAGUUGGCUUUAAUAUGCAGAAACUUUUUGUUUUGUAUCUAUUGACCCCUGCGUUUUUAUUCAUCCCGUUUUACGGUACCUAUUUACGAAGUUUGCCAACAGCUAUCAUCUUACCUACACAGAACAAAUCUCCCUAAAGUUUUCCGGCUUAGCAUAGGAUACAUACUAUACUUACCUUAAGCAUACCAAACAGUCCAGUCCGCUAUCGAUUGAUGAACCCUUAAACAUUUUAAACUUAAAACCUACGCUCCGGAAGGGACAAAUUUCGGGAGAUUGAGACAACAGCGCAGUAUGAAGCGCUUGCGAAUGUUCUUGAAUUUUAUAACCAGUAAUCACCUGUGUAUUCUGGGUUUAUUAGUAGAGUAAGCAAACACUUCUGGGAUACUAGCAUAAGCACUAUCAAGCUUUGAAAGUUAGGAUUCACGUUUUUUAACCUCAAUUUUGUUUUAGCUUUAGGGACAAUUUCCGCGCACAAUUAAUUUUCUCAAAGAUUGAUAUCAACCCAACCAACAAUUUACCAUUACUCCUCCAAAUUACCUUACGAAAUUGAUAUACCUACAUCGUGACAAUCACGCUUGAACUUCCACAAUCUAUGGUCGCCGGACAUAAGCCACAACACGCCAGACAUAUUUCCUGCAAUUUUCAGACACCUUGGAGCUUC